UAAUACCCAAUGAUAUCUCUAGAAGACAUCUGAAAGGGAUUAAAGAUUUAUCGGUGAUGGAUGGGGAUGCGUCUGAUUAGCUUGUUGGCGGGGUAACGGCCCACCAAGGCUACGAUCAGUAGGGGUUCUGAGAGGAAGGUCCCCCACAUUGGAACUGAGACACGGUCCAAACUCCUACGGGAGGCAGCAGUGAGGAAUAUUGGUCAAUGGACGAGAGUCUGAACCAGCCAAGUAGCGUGCAGGAUGACGGCCCUAUGGGUUGUAAACUGCUUUUAUAAGGGAAUAAAGUGAGCCUCGUGAGGCUUUUUGCAUGUACCUUAUGAAUAAGGACCGGCUAAUUCCGUGCCAGCAGCCGCGGUAAUACGGAAGGUCCGGGCGUUAUCCGGAUUUAUUGGGUUUAAAGGGAGCGUAGGCCGGAGAUUAAGCGUGUUGUGAAAUGUAGAUGCUCAACAUCUGCACUGCAGCGCGAACUGGUUUCCUUGAGUACGCACAAAGUGGGCGGAAUUCGUGGUGUAGCGGUGAAAUGCUUAGAUAUCACGAAGAACUCCGAUUGCGAAGGCAGCUCACUGGAGCGCAACUGACGCUGAAGCUCGAAAGUGCGGGUAUCGAACAGGAUUAGAUACCCUGGUAGUCCGCACGGUAAACGAUGGAUGCCCGCUGUUGGUCUGAAUAGGUCAGCGGCCAAGCGAAAGCAUUAAGCAUCCCACCUGGGGAGUACGCCGGCAACGGUACAACUAAAGGGAAUUGACGG
rnacentral:rRNA from 2 species